rnacentral:snoRNA from 2 species
UUGGCUAUGAUUAUGGUUUUUUACCAAUUGUUCCGACUGAAUGUCCCAUGUCGACAACCUUUAAUCGUUAAGUUUCAGCCUUGUAUGAGCCCC